AUUGAACGCUGGCGGCAGGCUUAACACAUGCAAGUCGAGCGGAGAGAGGUAGCUUGCUACUGGUCUUAGCGGCGGACGGGUGAGUAAUGCUUAGGAAUCUGCCUAUUAGUGGGGGACAACAUUUCGAAAGGAAUGCUAAUACCGCAUACGUCCUACGGGAGAAAGCAGGGGAUCUUCGGACCUUGCGCUAAUAGAUGAGCCUAAGUCGGAUUAGCUAGUUGGUGGGGUAAAGGCCUACCAAGGCGACGAUCUGUAGCGGGUCUGAGAGGAUGAUCCGCCAGACUGGGACUGAGAAACGGCCAAGACUCCUACGGGAGGCAGCAGUGGGGAAUAUUGGACAAUGGGCGGAAGCCUGAUCCAGCCAUGCCGCGUGUGUGAAGAAGGCCUUAUGGUUGUAAAGCACUUUAAGCGAGGAGGAGGCUACUUUAGUUAAUACCUAGAGAUAGUGGACGUUACUCGCAGAAUAAGCACCGGCUAACUCUGUGCCAGCAGCCGCCGUAA
rnacentral:rRNA from 1 species